rnacentral:rRNA from 1 species
CCUACGGGGGGCAGCAGUGAGGAAUAUUGGUCAAUGGACGCAAGUCUGAACCAGCCAUGCCGCGUGCAGGAAGACGGCUCUAUGAGUUGUAAACUGCUUUUGUACGAGGGUAAACGCAGAUACGUGUAUCUGUCUGAGAGUAUCGUACGAAUAAGGAUCGACGAACUCCGUGCCAGCAGCCGCGGUAAUACGGAGGAUUCAGGCGUUGUCCGGAUUUAGUGGGUUUAAGGGGUGCGUAGGCGGUCGGAUAAGUUAGAGGUGAACUCCCGAGGCUCAACUUCGGAAUUGCCGCUGAUACUGUUCGGCUAGAGAGUAGGGGGGGUAGGCGGAAUGUACGGUGUAGCGGUGAAAUGCUUAGAGAUC